rnacentral:rRNA from 1 species
UUCCUACGGGGGGCAGCAGUGAGGAAUAUUGGUCAAUGGCCGAGAGGCUGAACCAGCCAAGUCGCGUGAGGGAAGACGGCCCUACGGGUUGUAAACCUCUUUUGUCGGGGAGUAAAGCGAGUCACGUGUGACUCAUUGAGAGUACCCGAAGAAAAAGCAUCGGCUAACUCCGUGCCAGCAGCCGCGGUAAUACGGAGGAUGCGAGCGUUAUCCGGAUUUAUUGGGUUUAAAGGGUGCGUAGGCGGAAUACCAAGUCAGCGGUAAAAAUUCGGGGCUCAACCCCGUCGUGCCGUUGAAACUGAUGU